UUUUUUCUUUUUUUUUUUUUUAAAGUGCAUUUAAAGCAAAAUAACUGGCAUUCACAUGCCCCAUGGAAAACAUGAUUGCAGUGGAAAGCAUGACCAUGCUAAACUCCUUGGACUUGACAACGCCAAAAGCAAAUGGGGCAGUGACAGGCCUUGGUGUAGGCAGCUAUUCUUGGGCAGCACCAUUGGCAAGGAGGGAAGGCAGGAGGUGGUGGAAGGGAAAUUGCUUUAGAGGUUGUUUCCAAUUCUGACACAGCUGUGUCAUUCCCAAUACAGCUUCCUUUAUGAUGAUUAACGACCUCUGUCUUAUGGCUGUACCCAUCUGACUCUCCCUAGUUCUGUUUUUUAUCGUCUGUGUGUGUCCCAAGUGCCAGCAUCUAUUAGGAAUAAGGCACUAUUAAAAUUAUAGUUUUACAAAAGAUGCAAAAUAAUCCAACUCUACCAAUCCCAACUGCCCACACUGCUCUCCUCGCCCCCAUCCCUUUUCUGGGGGAAAUAUUGCAUGUGAUAAGACUCUAUUCAUAUGUUCUCCAAAUGUGUCAAAUGUAGGCUUUGGACAAAUGUUUUAAGUCCAUCAGCACCAAAGAUGGGUAGGAAUGUACCCUUUCUCUUUUAUGUAUGUGCACACAUGCAGACUUGUUAAUUGGGAGAGGGGGAAUAACGACACCAUUCCCAUGCUGCUCCUCCCAGGCUUUAGAGCCCAGCCUAAAAUAUAAACUUUCAAUACAUCAUCCAGAACAUCUACAUUUACUGGAUCAUUUAUGGAAGCAGUUGAGGGGUUUUUCAUUCCACCACCCAGAUGCUACAGGUUUUAGAGGUGGAUUUCUGGAAGGGCAAGCUCCAGGAAAGCCUGCAUGGACCAUCCUGCUCUGCAGGGAAAUGGCACAGGUGGGUGCCCACCCUUGGUCUUGCCUGCCAGACAGACAGACACUUCUCAGGGGCUGCUUUGCGCUGAUUCUUACAAUCAGAAAAGCUUCUCCAGCAAAUUUGGCUCCUCUGUGGCGUCAGGGACACUGACUGUGCAGUGGCAUUUGGAUCUCUGUCUUUACUCAUGAGCAGCUGUGGACUGCGAGCCACUUUUCCAUUGUGCCAACAUGCUCUUUCCUCUCCAUGGUUCUGACCUGUGAACAAGCAAUGUUCCAGUAACUGGGUAGUUCAUUUGCCCUAAAAACACUGCAGUCAGCCCAUCAUAAGGUGCAUUAGCUAUGGCAGCUAAUAUAUCCUUCUCUUGCUAAAAUGUCCAUGAACUACCUUCCCUUUGCCAGGAUCCCACUGGCUCUUCUCACCUUUCACCAAAGGCUAGGCUGCCUCAUUAAGCAGAGUAUAGCUGAAAAUGAGAAAAGCAAGCAGACAGGAGGGGUAAUAGCAAAGAAAAUGUGAGACCAGACGGUCCAGCAUUUAAGUUCGAGACUAGUCACUUUAGCCACCAUCAUCAAAAUGGACUGAGAUUAAAGGAGUCUAAACUGCUGCGGACUGGGUUUUUAGAAGUGACACAAACCGUGGGAGGGAAAUGAGUUGCCUUUUUUUUCUUUUAGUGGUUUAAGUCAUCUUGAUAAGGCCACAAACUGCAUUUGUCUUUUCAAUGUGAGUGCUUGAAAAUAACAUGAAUUAAAAUUGAGUGCUUCACAAAGCUAGAAUUGAAAUUGGAGAGAAGAGCCACCACAUGCUCGCUACAGCUGCACUAUAGGAGAGAGGAGCAUCUGAGGAGGUGGUGGUGGAGGGUGUCUCCUUGGGAAGACGUGCUACAUGUGGAAAGGGAAAGGAGCUCACAGUAUCUCCCAGCUCCCCUUCCUCUCACCACCACCUUACUGUUUUGUUGGACACCUAUAGACAAGUAGCACUUCUAAAGAGCCUCCUCCUGUUGUCUCUCACAUAUGUAAGCUGGGGAAGGGGAGGAGGCUGGUAUAAUUACAAAAGGGGAAAAAGAAGGCACAUGAUUUUACUCAGUCCUGACUGAACCCACAUUUUGAAAGCAAGGGCAGUUUAGGUGGAGGACAAAAAAGUGCUCAGUGGAGCGGGUGCUCACUGAGAAGAAAUCUCAGGGCAAAGGAAGUGGGAGAAUAAAAAGGAAAGGCAGGAGAAAUGAAGGCCACAUUCAGCUUUCUGUCUGCUUGACAGUCUCAAGAUUUGGCUGCAUUAUUGUCCAGGAAGGAAAAGAGUCUGGUUGGUCUCAAAUGUAGCCCAGUUACAUAUCUCCAGUUUCUGUUAUGGCUGUUGGUGUCCUCCUCUUUCCCUUUUCUCCAGUCCCAUGAACACCUGGAGCACUGCUUUAGUCUCUCAAGCCUGUUUUUCAAACAUUAAGAACAUGGCACACCUCUUUGGUCACCCUCAGCCUCUACUCCUCCUCAAAUCCAGACCAGUGAUCAAACAGAGCAGUGCUCCCUGCUGGUCACUCCCACUGCUGAGGUGCCCAAGAAGGCUUGAUGGAGAAUGCAAAGCAACCUCAUAGUUUCAGUGGGGUUGGUGAGUUGUUCACAAAAGCCACUGUCAGGAUGAGGGCAAAUCAAGGGAGUUGUUGACUGAGAAACAGAUGUCAUUUACAAAGGUCAUUAUGAGCAUCAUGUCUCAGUCACCUUCCCCUUGCACACUGCCAUGUCCAGGUACCGUAAGUUUCCUGUCUCCUCCAGUGACUGCAAGCCUUUCUCAUUCCUGUGGUUGAUGGGAGGAGUAGAUCUGAUGGUCCAGCUUUAGAAUUCCAAAACACAGUUUCCUAAAUUUUCCCCAACUCUCUAAGUCAAAAAUGCAUUCAGUUUCUCUCUCUCCCUCCUGCCACCCCCACCAAAUUUGCUCAGGAGAUCAUAAGGCAGAGUAAUGAGAAGUAGGAUCACCAACAGCUCUAUGAAGACACAGGGUGGUAAAAUGCUUCCCUACAAACUCACAGUCCAGUGUUUGUGACAUUUCAUAAAUAACUUUUUUUUUUUAAAAAAGAAUAACACAAGAACAAUCCCUUUACUUACUCAUCUGAAACAAAAUAAACAGCAGUGGCUACAAACUUCUUCUUGUAACAAUUACAAAAAAACUCCCAACAAUACAAUUCCCCAACUUUUAACACGCGCCUUGAAUGUUUUUUUUUCAUGUUAAACCUCAAAACUGCAGCAUAUCCUUAAGGGCAAACUUUUCAAUUAGUUUUUUCUUUCUUUUCUUUUUUUUUUUUUUUUAAAUAAUGUGUUCACCAAAAAGAAAAAAAAUCCACAAAACAGUCUUGUACCAAGAAAAUGCAUUCAAAAAUAGAAAAUACUACACAACAAAAAUAUGUACCCUUCCUUUCCAAAAGAGUCUUCACAAAAAUGUAGAAAAAUGCCAACUAUUUUUUUCCUUUCCUGAAUGCUUAACUUUCAACCUAGGGCACAAUUAUUUAUUGACUUAUAAUGUCUGUUUUUGCAUAAAAUAUGGAAGAUAAAAACCAACUGUCAGGACUGUGACGUUACAAACAACACCUCAUUAUUCUCCCCACCCCACAUUCCCUCCUCAGAAAACAAAACACAGAAAGCCAAUGUUUCAACAACUGAUUGAAAGUCAUCAGGUUAGGGAAACCCAUUAGCUGAUAUGGGGAUUUGAAGAUGCUGGCAUAACAGGAAAAUCAUCUGUCUUUUAAAAUGUAUGCUUUUUGAAUUCAUCUCAACAUGAGUCUCUGCCCCACUGUACUCAAAUGACCAGGCACUAUGGAGACAGGACACUGCUGGGCAUAGAAAGAUCUGGGAAGAAUUUGGUGUCAGGAGCCCAGGGACCGCACGUGGGUGUGCGCAUGCACGUGGCAUUUCACUUGCAAAGAACUCUUUCCAUUUUGAAAGACAGAGAGGAUGUUUCCAUAUGCCUUAAAAGUGCAAGGGCCAUUUCUUAGUAGUUAAAUAUGCAGAAGUUUUACUAUGCUUAAUAGUCAAGUCCAUUUUUCUGGCAAAGGCAAGCCAGAGAUAGAUCGCAUCAGUUCACGGCUGGGAGUGGGUGACAGCUGAAAACUGGUAGGCAAAAAGUGUCACACCAAGGUGCAUACAGAUUUAUUCAGUGGGAAAGUGUUUUGCCUACCUUGAAAAAUGUUCAAGGGAUAUUAUGCAAUUAACACAGCCAAAAUACCAACUGUUUUGACAGCAAUAAACUCUAGCAGUGGGGAAUUGGAUGCUAUGGGGAAGGCAGCUGUAUCUUGCACGCAUGUGGCUAAAUCCAUCCUCUGUGUACCUCUUUUGACUUCAUUGCAAAAACACCUGCUUGCACCAGGGAUGAAUUUGCCCCAUGUGGUUCUGGAUUUUAUGUCUGUUGGCCAUGUAGGAGCCCAACCCUGCAGAACACUGUGCUAGAAUAUUCCAGAUGGCAGAGUUAGGAUCAAAAAGGCUUCUCUCUUCUUCUGUUUGAGUUUGUUUUUUUUUUUUUCUAGCAAAGUUUUAAAGGAUGCUUCCAGCACAAGAAGGAAGAGGAGAGCUUUUUCUUAGCCUUUUCCACUGCAUGGCUGUGUGUUUUCCUUUUUUCAAAUGGCAAAAUGUGUUUGUGUUUACUUCCAGUGCAUUUUUUUCUCAUAAAUUCAAAACAAAAAGGAAACAUUACUUUUCCCAUCCUUCAAAAGGAAACAAAACCAAAACAGACUGAUAAAGUACAAUACAAUAAAAAUCAGGCAUUAUAAAAGACAACAUGAUGUGCAACAGCAAUACCAAAGAAACAAAAAUUUAAAAACUUAUUUUUAUAUAUAUAUUAGGAUACAGGUAUGAAUAAGCCAAGAAAGCUAUCUAACCCCACUACUAGAUGAUUGGUAAGCAUUGGUUAAGAAAUACGUAAGGCUAUUCUGAGAUUUCUAACUUAACACAGUUAACCACUGCUUCUCUCACACCUUCACUUCCUAAAUUUUUCACCUUUCACUCACUGGUCUUUUAUGUCUUGAAACUGAUUUCUUUUCCUUUUCUUAUUUUUUGGUCUACAGUAGAAUUACAUGUUAAUAACAAUAGCAAAACAAAACUCAAACUUGUUGUGAGAGUAAGUUGGUGCCACAUCCAUUAUGCAGAAGAAAGAAGACAGACAACAGAACAACCGCAUUCAGUUUUUCACACACAAAGCAUAUUUGAGGGCAACAACAUAGCUGACCAAAACAAGUUUGGAGGGGCAAGCAGCAGAAGAUGUAGGUUUACAACUAGACCACCAACCAGAGCCUGGUCUUUCACCUUUACCAAUGUCUAUGAGGACAACAGGAGCACAUUUGCCAUGUGGCUUUGCCAUUCCUGUCACCUGGCACAACAGCUAAUCUGGCAUCUACUUCACCACUAAAUGCACACCUGGUUUGAUAGAAAACCAAAAGGAAAAGAAAAGGUAAAAGGCUCCUAGGUGAGGCCAAGUGUAUCUCUUGGUCACCUUGGCUGAUUGUGACAAAUCCUCAGCCAGUGGGAUAUCAGUGAGAGAGGGCACCUGGCUGGCAGGUCAUUGGGGAGCAGUUUUGAACUCAGGCUGUCUAAGGUGAUGGGACAGUUGGUUAGCCUCCUCCAUUAGGGGAAAAGUGAUGAACUCCGACAGGUUACCCUGGGAUCGUUCCAUUAGUAUAAAUUCUCUUAGUUCAGCAGGGAUGAGAAAGCAUACAUUCUCUGCUGCUUCUGAAUUGCCUUUGUAAAUGUCAGCAUCACCAGCCACUAGAAAUGCAUUCCCUACCAACUUGGCUACAGCAAUGUGAUUGAAGCUCCACAGUGAAUCCUGGCAUUUUCUUUUUAUAGUGGAACUUCUGAAAUGUAACAUUUUCCUCAAGGGUAAGCAGUGAAAUUACUAUAAUGCUGAAAAUAUCACUAGCAUUUUCUUGAGCCAUAACUAUGACACAGUCCCAGCAAAAACUCAAGCUGAUCCUCAGUAGUGCUUGUCAAUGUUGAGGAAAGGAACAUACAGAAACAAAAUGAUCAAACAGUUCGGGGAAUUCUGUUUUGGAUCUAGCCCACUGGCCAAAGGGAUUUUUGUUUGUGAGAAAAGGUGCAACAAUGAAGCAGGAUGACAAAUGGAGAAUUAUGGAAGUUAGUGUUUCUCCAUCUGGAGAAAAAUAGGGCAUUAAGUUAUGCGGCAUCUCUAGUCAGCAACAUAUGUUUUGGCUUCUUAAAAUAAACCUCAAGUAAUCCUUGGUUUCUCAGUCAAGCACUGUCUACAUGGGGCUAUAGUACCAUGCUGAAAAAAACGAAAAGAGUUUGUGCUAUAUUUAAAUGUAGUUCCAGUUAAACUAGUUUCAAACUGACCAUGUAAAAAGGAACAACUUACUUAAAAGCCAUUAAAAUUAUACAAUCACACUUAUGCCCAGGAACUGGUGUGAGUGAGCGCUGUAACCAAGUGGGAACAUAAGCUAGAAUUUGGCUUUUAAAAAAUGGUUUGUUCUUGUUUACACGGAUUAGACACUUCUGUUGAAACUGAGUCUGCUGGAAUCAGGUUUAAACAGGUUGAAUUCAAACCCAGAUUUGGAGCAUGGCUCAAAGCCCACUUCUUCAGGUUGCAGUACUUUUAAAAAACUAGUGCAAAUGGCAUCUUAUCACAGCAUUGCAAACAUGCAGCGUUCCUCUCCUUGUCCAAAUAUGGUUGCCAUCAGGUCACACCACAAGGGAGGAAUAUGCAGCAAUCAGUCAGCCAGAACAGCUCAACCUACAGAAGUUCUUUAUUUUACCACAGCAGGAAAGGCACUCUGGACACAGCAGACUCAGUAAACCCUCAGCUUCACUUUUUUUUUUUUUUGGAGCAGUCCACUACUCGUCUUUAACAAUGCUAAUCCACUCUGACAGUAGCAAUAUAUGCAGCUGCCUUAAACAAGGAAACAAAAACUCACCUCAGCAAAAGCAAGGAGUAUUGGCUCAUUAUAUGAAUUAACUUCAGCAGACAGAUUUCAUUUUCUUCCAUAUAACAGCUCUGUAACUGUCACUACUCUUAUGGACAAAUGCCACUUUACAAAACAAAGGUGUUCUGCCUCUGUAUAUGCUGGCUCUCAAAUAAACUGUGUUUUUGUUGGGCAUCCACUGACUUAUUACUGGAAGUUGACCUUCCAGUGUCCUUUUCAUCUUAGAGGGUUCCUGCAGAUGGCAAAGAAACAGGCUGCAUGUUCCACUGUCCCGCUUGCUUUCAAGGGAAGAGUCAUUCAGUAGUUAAUCUAACAGUACAUCAGGGCAUAUCUCCAGUUCUUCUCUUCCAGUCCAUUCGAGCCAGGACGGCUGGAUUCUAAGAAUGGAAAUCUCAAAGCUCACCAGAACAACAUAUCCUUAACUCCAAAGUCUCUCCUGGUUCCAGACUUGUUCCUUCCCACCCAACACCUGCCUCUUGCAUACCACUCUUUAGUUCUUGACACUUUUGUCAAACGAGGCAG
ensembl:lncRNA